AUGUCCAGUGAUACAACCUCUCUUAUCAUCACCCAGUGCCUGGGCUUACCUCCGCUGUACCCGCACCCCACCAUACCCCUGUCUGCGCAUUAUGCCCUGAAUAUAUUCUACCACGCCCAGAAAUCUGCUCCUUUUAUUCUUUGUCCCCAACGCUCUAGGCGACCAGUUUUGAUCGCCUUUAGCCGCACCCUCAUCCUACUCCUCCUCUGUUCCGUGGGUGAUGUGGAGGUAAACCCAGGCCCUGCAGGUCCCCAGGCAACCUCAUUUGUUGACUUCUGUGAUCGAAAAAGCCUUGGUUUCAUGCAUGUCAACAUCAGAAGCCUCCUCCCUAAGUUUGUUUUACUCACUGCUUUAGCACACUCUGCCAACCCUGAUGUCCUUGCUGUGUCUGAAUCCUGGCUUAGGAAGGCCACCAAAAAUUCUGAGAUUUCCAUACCCAACUAUAACAUUUUCCGUCAAGAUAGAACUGCCAAAGGGGGAGUAGUUGCAGUCUACUGCAGAGAUAGCCUGCAAAGUAAUGUCAUACUUUCCAGGUCCAUACCCAAACAGUUUGAACUUCUAAUUUUAAAAAUUAAUGUCUCCAGAAAUAAUUCUCUCACUGUUGCCGCCUGCUACCGACCCCCCUCAGCUCCCAGCUGUGCCCUGGACACCAUUUGUGAAUUGAUCGCCCCCCAUCUAGCUUCAGAGUUUGUUCUGUUAGGUGACCUAAACUGGAAUAUGCUUAACACCCCGGCAGUCCUACAAUCUAAGCUAGAUGCCCUCAAUCUCACACAAAUCAUCAAGGAACCCACCAGGUACAACCCUAAAUCUGUAAACAAGGGCACCCUCAUAGACGUUAUCCUGACCAACUGUUCCUCCAAAUACACCUCCGUUGUCUUCAAUCAGGAUCUCAGCGAUCACUGCCUCAUUGCCUGUAUCCGCUACGGGUCCGCAGUCAAACGACUACCCCUAAUCACUGUCAAACGCUCCCUAAAACACUUCUGCGAGCAGGCCUUUCUAAUCGACCUGGCCCGGGUAUCCUGGAAGGAUAUUGACCUCAUCACGUCAGUUGAGGAUGCCUGGUCAUUCUUGAAAAGUAAUUUCCUCACCAUCUUAGAUAAGCAUGCUCCGUUCAGAAAAUGCAGAACCAAGAACAGAUAUAGCCCUUGGUUCACUCCAGACCUGACUGCCCUUGACCAGCAGAAAAACAUCCUGUGCCGGAUGCAAUAG
rnacentral:lncRNA from 1 species